ensembl:piRNA 21ur-867 ncRNA
UCAUAAUGAGAGCUGAUCGAU